rnacentral:misc_RNA from 1 species
GCUGACCUGUCACCUCUCCACCCUCAAGCCACAGGGAUUGGUAUGUGCCCCUCACUGGGUCAAUCAGUGUCUUCCUUGGUUACUUUUUGCCACAGUAGGUGGAAAAGAUGGUUGUUGUCCACAGGAAUUGAUCGGGGGAUGUUGAUAUGAGGCUGCCAGCUGCCAUUUUACCACCUGGAGGGAGCCUGACAGAAAACUCAGAGAACCCCUGGCCCCACUGAUGGAGCCUCCCAAAGAAUCAGGUGCAUCCUUGAACUUCCCACUUGAGGUAACAAGUAAAUCCUCAGGUUAUUAUGAUGUGAGAUUCCAUCAUUCUAGAAAUCAGUCAUAUACAAAUACAACUGGCUGGUGUGUAAUGAUAAUAGUCAACACUGGUGUUUUCUGGUGGCUCCCGGAUUAAGGAUCCAGCAUUCCCACUUCUGUGGCACAGGUGGGUUUGAUCCCUGGCCCUGGAAUUUUUGCAUGCCGUGGGCAUAGUCAAAAGGAAAGAAAAAUAGCACUUAGUGAAAUGAAUGCUAUAAUGUGAGGCAUGCUUCUAAGAAAUUUCAUGCAUGAAUCAUUUAAAUCUCACAACAGUCCUAUGACGUAUACACCAUUAUCAUUUCUAUUUUACAGAUGAAGAAACUAAAGCUUAGGGAGGUCGCAUGACUUUCCCUUAGAUAACAGCGAUAGGAAGAAAUAGGGCUGCAGAACAGGGAUUUGAACCUAGAGAGAAAGUGAGAGCUGUUUAUACACAUGCAUACACUUUAUCUUUAUAUAUANUUUACCUCUUUGUAAUGUGAAAAAAAAUUUCAAUAAAAAUGUUAGAAAAUUAAUGUUGGUUAUGUGCAUGGAAAUGAGUAUCCUAAAUUUUAUCCCAUUGUCAUGGACAAUGAUAGACCUUACUGCUAGAGCUUAAAAAGCAACUAUAGAUUUAUGAGUGUUUUGAAAGGAUAUAAGUAGAAAAUUGAGUAUUGCUAUUGAAGUAUCCUACUAUAUGACAUUGAAUCUCCGAAAGAGCAGCUAGUUAGCUGGUCAAAGCUUUUUCAGAGGUAAACAAAACAAAAACCUAGAAGCAGCUAGAUAGAGGCACCAGAGUGCAUUGUUUAUGAAUAUCAUUUAGGGAAACAUUGCAGUGGGAAGAAUCUCUAAACAGAUACUGAGAAUGAAAAUAUUUUGUGAGCCAGAACAUAUAAUCAAGCCAAGUACUGGGACAUCGCAAAGUUAGAAUUUAUCAUAAAACUAGAAAACAGAAAAACACUGUAUUAGGGAAGUUGCAGAAGAAUUCCGUAGAUAUUUCAGAAAAAAAAUAUCUCAAAGCAGCAUCCAGUUCCUGGGUACUUUGUGUAGAUGAACCUAAAUCUAUUUUGCAAGGAUCCCAGGCUCUAAAUUAUAAUUAGUGAAUCCCAUGCCAAGAUGUAUGUGAAAUUGAACGGGUUAACUCUCUCACCAUGACCAAUGAUACAGACACCCUAAAAAAUAAAUGUUCUAAUUUUCAAAAGUGUCAAGGUCUUAUCACUUCCUAUUGUAUCAUGCAAAAAAUGCAAAAACUGCAGGCAAACGCUUUUGAAAUACCUGCUUUUAUGCUUUCAGGAAAGUAAUGUCUUAGAAUCAUGAUUGCGUCUUAGGACUGGGGUUGGCCAAUGGGAUAAAUCCAGCCCUCCAUCUGUUCCUGAAGGGCUGGUACACUAAGGAUAUUUUUUAAUAUAUUUAAAUGCUUG